AUUGAACGCUGGCGGCAUGCUUUACACAUGCAAGUCGAACGGCAGCGCGGGCUUCGGCCUGGCGGCGAGUGGCGAACGGGUGAGUAAUGCAUCGGAACGUGCCCAGUAGUGGGGGAUAGCCCGGUGAAAGCCGGAUUAAUACCGCAUACGACCUGAGGGUGAAAGCGGGGGACCGAAAGGCCUCGCGCUAUUGGAGCGGCCGAUGUCGGAUUAGCUAGUUGGUGGGGUAAAGGCUUACCAAGGCGACGAUCCGUAGCUGGUCUGAGAGGACGACCAGCCACACUGGGACUGAGACACGGCCCAGACUCCUACGGGAGGCAGCAGUGGGGAAUUUUGGACAAUGGGGGCAACCCUGAUCCAGCCAUGCCGCGUGCGGGAAGAAGGCCUUCGGGUUGUAAACCGCUUUUGUUCGGGAAGAAAUCCUCUGGGCUAAUACCCCGGGGGGAUGACGGUACCGGAAGAAUAAGCACCGGCUAACUACGUG
rnacentral:rRNA from 1 species